rnacentral:lncRNA from 1 species
GAAACACAGGUCCCUUCCUCAAAAUCAUCAGGAAAUGGUCCAGGUGGCACCUAAGUGCUAUGAUGGACAGAGGAAACACAGCAGCAGGGAGCACACAAGAGCUUUGAAAAACAGCCCACAAAUUUCAGCCAGGGACACUAUUAGAUUAACAAAGACCCUUGAAAUGAAGCCUGUCAUUUUCGAGAACUCCUUCAAAACAAAAUCGUGACAGGGCCUUCAAAAUCAGCCGGCUGAGUCUGCGUCAACAUGAGACCUUGC